UUGAUUUUAGUUAAUUAAGAUUGAUCCUGUCUUGUUUAUUAAUUGGCUGUUAUAUUGUAGGUAAUAUUAAAUAUGAGUUUUUGCGUGUUUUUUAUUUUGUCUAAAGGACAAUUAUUUUUUUAAUUGUAGUUUUUAAUUUUGGGUUUAUACAUACAUGUAGAUCCAGUUAAUUAAUUUAGAAUCGUUUAAGGUUGUGCCAGCAUACGCGGUUAUACAUCCGAUUCGAGUCAAUUUUUUUGGUUUAUAUUAAUUUUGAAGUUUUUGGGGAUUAAUUUUAUUUUAUUAAGUGAAAUUUUUAAUUUAGCUUAUAUUUCCUGGGUUUAAGAUUAUGUGAAGUUUAGGAUUUAAACUAGGAUUAGAUACCCUAUUAU
rnacentral:rRNA from 1 species